CCUACGGGUGGCAGCAGUAGGGAAUCUUCCACAAUGGGCGAAAGCCUGAUGGAGCAACGCCGCGUGGGUGAAGAAGGUCUUCGGAUCGUAAAACCCUGUUGGUAGAGAAGAAAGUGCGUGAGAGUAACUGUUCACGUGUCGACGGUAUCGAACCAGAAAGACACGGCUAACGACGUGCCAGCAGCCGCGGUAAUACGUAGGGGGCAAGCGUUAGCCGGAUUUAUUGGGCGUAAAGGGAACGCAGGCGGUCUUUUAAGUCUGAUGUGAAAGCCUUCGGCUUAACCGGAGUAGUGCAUUGGAAACUGGGAGACUUGAGUGCAGCAGAGGCGAGUGGAACUCCCUGUGUAGCGGUGAUAUGCGUAGAUAUCUGGAAGAACACCAGUGGCGAACGCGGCUCUCUGGUCUGUAACUGACGCUGAGGUUCGAAAGCGUGGGUAGCAAACAGGAUUAGCUACCCCUGUAGUC
rnacentral:rRNA from 1 species